GUAAUAUAUCGGAACGUGCCCAGUCGGUGGGGAUAACGUAGAGAAAUUUACGCUAAUACCGCAUACGAUCUAAGGAUGAAAGCGGGGGAUUCGCAAGAACCUCGCGCGAUUGGAGCGGCCGAUAUCAGAUUAGGUAGUUGGUGGGUAAAGGCUCACCAAGCCAACGAUCUGUAGCUGGUCUGAGAGGACGACCAGCCACACUGGGACUGAGACACGGCCCAGACUCCUACGGGAGGCAGCAGUGGGGAAUUUUGGACAAUGGGCGCAAGCCUGAUCCAGCAAUGCCGCGUGCAGGAUGAAGGCCUUCGGGUUGUAAACUGCUUUGUACGGAACGAAACGGUGAGCUCUAAUACAGUUUGCUAAUGACGGUACCGUAAGAAUAAGCACCGGCUAACUACGUG
rnacentral:rRNA from 1 species